rnacentral:rRNA from 1 species
AGGGGCAUCGGGAGGGAAGCUUGCUUUCCUUGCCGGCGACCGGCGCACGGGUGAGUAACACGUAUGCAACCUGCCCUCUUCAGGGGGACAACCUUCCGAAAGGGAGGCUAAUCCCGCGUAUAUCGGUUUCGGGCAUCCGUUAUCGAGGAAAGAUUCAUCGGAAGAGGAUGGGCAUGCGGCGCAUUAGCUAGACGGCGGGGUAACGGCCCACCGUGGCGACGAUGCGUAGGGGUUCUGAGAGGAAGGUCCCCCACACUGGUACUGAGACACGGACCAGACUCCUACGGGAGGCAGCAGUGAGGAAUAUUGGUCAAUGGGAGAGAUCCUGAACCAGCCAAGCCGCGUGAGGGAAGACGGCCCUAUGGGUUGUAAACCUCUUUUGUCGGAGAACAAAACCCGGGACGAGUCCCGGACUGCGUGUAUCCGAAGAAAAAGCAUCGGCUAACUCCGUGCCAGCAGCCGCGGUAAUACGGAGGAUGCGAGCGUUAUCCGGAUUUAUUGGGUUUAAAGGGUGCGUAGGCGGUCUGUUAAGUCAGCGGUAAAAUUGCGGGGCUCAACCCCG